UUGCUACUUCAAUGCCACCAUGGGUGCAAGGCUCCUCUGCUGGGUAGUGCUAUGUCUCCUGAGAACAGGCUCUAGUGAUGUCCAAGUCACUCAGACCCCAGGACAUCUGGUCAAAGGCAAAGGACAGAGUGCAAAGAUGAAUUGCAUCCCCCCAAAAGAACACCCUGUUGUUUACUGGUACAAACAGACCCAGAACAAAGAGUUUACGUUUUUGAUAUACUUCCAGAAUGAAGACGUUCUCGAUCAAAUUGAGUUGGUCAAGAAGCGAUUCUCAGCUCAAUGCCCAAAAAACGAAGGGUGCAGCCUGGAGAUCAAGACCUCUGAACCAGGAGACUCAGCAGUGUAUUUCUGUGCCAGCAGCCUAUCCACAGCACUGAAAUGUCAGCUCCUCUUAAUGCACAAACUCAUCAUGGGCCCAGCUCAGGAAGCAGGUGAGGUGUUAGGCUGUAGCAGAAGUUAA